rnacentral:rRNA from 1 species
GGAAUAUUGGUCAAUGGGCGCGAGCCUGAACCAGCCAAGUAGCGUGCAGGAUGACUGCCCUAUGGGUUGUAAACUGCUUUUAUGCGGGGAUAAAGUUCAGCACGUGUGCUGUUUUGUAGGUACCGCAUGAAUAAGGACCGGCUAAUUCCGUGCCAGCAGCCGCGGUAAUACGGAAGGUCCGGGCGUUAUCCGGAUUUAUUGGGUUUAAAGGGAGCGCAGGCCGGUUGGUAAGCGUGACGUGAAAUGUAGCCGCUCAACGGCUGCACUGCGUCGCGAACUGUCAGCCUUGAGUGAGUGCGACGUCAGCGGAAUUCGUGGUGUAGCGGUGAAAUGCUUAGAUAUCACGAAGAACCCCGAUUGCGAAGGCAGCUGACGAGUCCUUUACUGACGCUAAAGCUCGAAGGUGCGGGUAUCGAACA